rnacentral:rRNA from 1 species
GAUGAACGCUGGCGGCGUGCCUAAUACAUGCAAGUCGAGCGAACAGACGAGGAGCUUGCUCCUCUGACGUUAGCGGCGGACGGGUGAGUAACACGUGGAUAACCUACCUAUAAGACUGGGAUAACUUCGGGAAACCGGAGCUAAUACCGGAUAAUAUAUUGAACCGCAUGGUUCAAUAGUGAAAGACGGUUUUGCUGUCACUUAUAGAUGGAUCCGCGCCGCAUUAGCUAGUUGGUAAGGUAACGGCUUACCAAGGCAACGAUGCGUAGCCGACCUGAGAGGGUGAUUGGCCACACCUGAACUGAGACACGGUCCAGAACCCUAAGGGAGGCAGCAGUAGGGAAAUUUCCGCAAAGGGCGAAAGCCUGACGGAGCAACGGCGCGGGGGUGAAGAAGGUCUUCGGAUCGGAAAACCCUUUUUAUAGGGAAGAAAAAAUGUGUAAGUAACUAUGCACGUCUUGACGGUACCUAAUCAGAAAGCCACGGCUAACUACGUG